rnacentral:ncRNA from 1 species
AGAUGUCGCUAAAGCGACUCCUCAGGGCGAACGGAUCGAGAUAGAGACCGGAUCUAAUAAGCUUCUUAUCCAAACGUUAAU